rnacentral:lncRNA from 1 species
GCUGUUCCAAUCCACAAGCUGGUAUUAAAACAGACUGGUAGUAAAAACCACUCACAGCCUUUUUCUACCUGAGAAUAUUAACUCUCACUUGGUAACUGCUACACAGAAUUAAUAUGGACAUUUCAAGUUGUAUGCAUUAGUAUAGCAUUUGUUUACAGAAUCAGAGAUUUGUAUUUAGCUAUGUUCAGCAAUAAGCUAGGGAGUGAUUUGACAUCCUUACUUCCAAAUUAAUGUAAAUCCACGGCAUCUACUCUGAAGUUAGUGGGGUAUCUCCAGCUUUAUAUCAGCAUUGCUAAAAAUAGAGUCCAAUGGUCUAUCUUUAGAUAUCCUGGAGUUCUUAUAUUUUGGAACCGUGUAACCAUGCUAACUACCCUGUUGUCAUCAUGAAAAAGGCCAGAAAAGAAGUCUAGCUGCUGCAGUGGCUCAGUUAAUGCUCCAAGGGCAAUGCCUCUGGAUCUUCUGCAUUGGGCUCUACUCUUUGUUAAACAGCUCAGCUCACGUACAUCCACCUUCUUCCUUCCCCUUCCACUCUCCGUUUGUCUGUGCUCAGAGGUACCCACUACUGGAAAAUCAAACCUUUUAAGUAUGGACAAGAACAGGAGAAAACCAUCCUCCAGUUCCCAGUAG